rnacentral:rRNA from 1 species
GUGGGGAAUAUUGGACAAUGGGCGAAAGCCUGAUCCAGCCAUGCCGCGUGUGUGAAGAAGGUCUUCGGAUUGUAAAGCACUUUAAGUUGGGAGGAAGGGUAGUAACCUAAUACGUUGCUACUUUGACGUUACCGACAGAAUAAGCACCGGCUAACUUCGUGCCAGCAGCCGCGGUAAUACGAAGGGUGCAAGCGUUAAUCGGAUUUACUGGGCGUAAAGCGCGCGUAGGUGGUUUUGUGAGUUGGAGGUGAAAUCCCCGGGCGCAACCUGGGAACUGCCUCCAAAACUGCAUGACUAGAGUACGGUAGAGGGUAGUGGAAUCUCCUGUGUAGCGGUGAAAUGCGUAGAUAUAGGAAGGAACACCAGUGGCGAAGGCGACUACCUGGACUGAUACUGACACUGAGGUGCGAAAGCGUGGGGAGCAAACAGGAUUAGAAACCCCGGUAGUCC